UUUAAAUUUAUAUUUUUAUUAAAAAUAAUUAUAAUUAUGAAUGUUUUAGUAUAGUAUAUAGAAUAAAUAAUUUUUAUUAUAGUAAAUUAGUACUGUAAAGAAAAAUUGAAAUAAAUUGAAAAAUUAAUAUUUAAAAAGAAAAUUUAAUUUAUUGUACCUUGUGUAUCAGGGUUUAUUAAUUAAAAAAUAAUUAUAUUUAUUUUUCUCGAUUUCAAAAGAGUUAAUAAAUUAUGUUAAUUUAUGUAGAAAAAUAAUUAAUAAUAUUUUAUUAGAAAUGAAAAGUUAAUCGUUUUUGAAGGUAUCUAGUUUUUUAAGAAAUGAAUUUAAUUCAAUUAUUUUUGAUAUAUUAAUUUAAUUAAUUAAUUUAAUAUUUAAAAAUAAUAAUAUUUUAUGGGAUAAGCUGUAAAAUAAAUAAUUAAAAAUUUAUUAAUUUAUUAAUAAAUAUAUGCUUAUAAAUAGCAAUUAUUAUUAAUUAUGUUAUAAUUUAUUUUAUAAAAUUUAUUAUUUAAUUUAAUUUUAAUUAUUUAUUAAAAUUUUUAUUUUAAUUAUAAAAAUAAAUUAAUAAUGAUAGAAUUAGUAUAUUAUAUAAUUUGUAUAAAUAUAAUAAAUUGAUAAUUUUAUAUAAAGAAUUCGGCAAAUAUUGUAUUCGCCUGUUUAUCAAAAACAUGUCUUUUUGUAUUUUAUUUAAAGUCUAAUCUGCCCACUGAUAUUAUUGAAGGGCCGCGGUAUUUUAACCGUGCAAAGGUAGCAUAAUCAUUAGUUUUUUAAUUGAAGGCUUGUAUGAAUGAUUGGACGAGAUAUAAGCUGUUUCAUAUGAAAUUAAAUAGAAUUUUAUUUUUUAGUUAAAAAGCUAAAAUUAAUUUAAAAGACGAGAAGACCCUAUAGAUCUUAAUAAUUUAUAUGUUUUAUUUAUAUAGAAAAUUUAAGAUAUUAUAAUUAUAAUUAUUUUGUUGGGGUGACAAUAAAAUUUAAUUAACUUUUAUAUUUAAGUUACAUAAAUUAAUGAAUAAUUGAUCCAUUUUUAAUGAUUAAUAAAUUAAGUUACCUUAGGGAUAACAGCGUAAUUUUUUUAGAGAGUUCAUAUCGAUAAAAAAGUUUGCGACCUCGAUGUUGGAUUAAGAAAUAAAAUUGGGUGUAGAAGUUCAAAAUUUUAGGUCUGUUCGACCUUUAAUUUCUUACAUGAUCUGAGUUCAAACCGGCGUGAGCCAGGUUGGUUUCUAUCUUUAUUAAAUUAUAAUAUUUUAGUACGAAAGGACCAAAUAUUAGAAAUAUAAAUUUUUUUGUAUUGAAUUUUAUUAAUUUUAA
rnacentral:rRNA from 1 species